rnacentral:RNase_P_RNA from 1 species
CGAGCCGGGCGGGCGGCCGCGUGGAGACCUUCGGGUCUUCCCGAGGAACGUCCGGGCUCCACAGGGCAAGGUGGUGGCUAACGGCCACCCGGGGUGACCCGCGGGACAGUGCCACAGAAAACAGACCGCCGGGGACCUCGGUCCUCGGUAAGGGUGAAACGGUGGUGUAAGAGACCACCAGCGCCUGAGGUGACUCAGGCGGCUCGGUAAACCCCACCAGGAGCAAGGUCAAAAGGGAACGCCUCGGUGUUCCUGCGCGGACGUUCGAGGGCUGCCCGCCCGAGUCCGCGGGUAGACCGCACGAGGCCGGCGGCAACGCCGGUCCUAGAUGGAUGGCCGUCACCCCGACGACCGCGAGGUCCCGGGGUACAGAACCCGGCGUACAGCCCGACUCGUCUG